CUCUCUCUCUCUCUGCUUCUCUUUCUUCUCCUUAUUACUUCCUACUUCUCUCUAUCUCUCUCUCUUCACAUUAUUAUAUUCUCUCUGUUUCUUCCAAUCCAAUCUCUCUCUCUCACACACACAGAGAAACUAAACUGAAUAUAGCAGUUUUUGCUUAGAAAGGCCAUGACCCAAUCACCAUCUCUUGUCGAACAGGGUAUUUCUCAACAGGUCAGUUAUUUUUUUUUUCCUUUUUCUUCCUUCCUUAAAGCUUCCUCUGUUUUUCAUGUUCUGUCUCUACUCUGUUUUUGUUCUGUCUGUGACUCUGUUGUAAUGGGGUUUUUCUUCUUCUUAAAGACAAGAUUUUUUCUUCUGGGUUUAUGAUUUAUGUGAACAAUGCGAAUUUUACAGAGAAUUUAUGUGGUUGAGAUUUGAGUUUUUUCGUAUUGGGACUAAGAACAAGUGGAAGUUUAAG
rnacentral:lncRNA from 1 species